rnacentral:misc_RNA from 1 species
GAUGAAGAACGCAGCGAAAUGCGAUAAGUAGUGUGAAUUGCAGAAUUCAGUGAAUCAUCGAAUCUUUGAACGCACAUUGCGCCCUUUGGUAUUCCUUAGGGCAUGCCUGUUCGAGCGUCAUUUAAACCUUCAAGCUCAGCUUGGUGUUGGGUGACUGUCCGCUUCACCGCGGACUCGCCUCAAAAUUAUUGGCGGCCGGUACAUUGGCUUCGAGCGCAGCAGAAACGCGAACUCGGGCCCGUCGUAUUGGCUCCCAGAAGCUAUCUUCACAAUUUUGACCUCGGAUCAGGUAGGGAUACCCGCUGAACUUAAGCAUAUCAAUAAGCGGAAGA